UACGUAGGAGGCGAGCGUUGUCCGGAAUUAUUGGGCGUAAAGAGCUCGUAGGCGGUCUGUCGCGUCUGCUGUGAAAACUCAGGGCUUAACCCUGAGCUUGCAGUGGGUACGGGCAGACUAGAGUGCGGUAGGGGAGACUGGAAUUCCUGGUGUAGCGGUGAAAUGCGCAGAUAUCAGGAGGAACACCGGUGGCGAAGGCGGGUCUCUGGGCCGUAACUGACGCUGAGACGCGAAAGCGUGGGGAGCAAACAGG
rnacentral:rRNA from 1 species